GACGAACGCUGGCGGCGUGCUUAACACAUGCAAGUCGAACGGAAAGGCCCUGCUUUUGUGGGGUGCUCGAGUGGCGAACGGGUGAGUAACACGUGAGUAACCUGCCCUUGACUUUGGGAUAACUUCAGGAAACUGGGGCUAAUACCGGAUAGGAGCUCCUGCUGCAUGGUGGGGGUUGGAAAGUUUCGGCGGUUGGGGAUGGACUCGCGGCUUAUCAGCUUGUUGGUGGGGUAGUGGCUUACCAAGGCUUUGACGGGUAGCCGGCCUGAGAGGGUGACCGGCCACAUUGGGACUGAGAUACGGCCCAGACUCCUACGGUAGGCAGCAGUGGGGAAUAUUGCACAAUGGGCGGAAGCCUGAUGCAGCAACGCCGCGUGCGGGAUGACGGCCUUCGGGUUGUAAACCGCUUUCGCCUGUGACGAAGCGUGAGUGACGGUAAUGGGUAAAGAAGCACCGGCUAACUACAUG
rnacentral:rRNA from 1 species